rnacentral:rRNA from 1 species
AGUGAACGCUGGCGGUAGGCCUAACACAUGCAAGUCGAACGGCAGCACAGUAAGAGCUUGCUCUUACGGUUGGCGAGUGGCGGACGGGUGAGGAAUACAUCGGAAUCUACUUUUUCGUGGGGGAUAACGUAGGGAAACUUACUCUAAUACCGCAUACGACCUACGGGUGAAAGCAUUGGAUCUUCUGACCUUGCGCGAUUGAAUGAGCCGAUGUCGGAUUAGCUAGUUGGCUGGGUAAAGUCCCACCAAGGCGACGAUCCGUAGAUGGUCUGAGAGGAUGAUCAGCAACACGGGAACUGAGACACGGACAAGAAUCCUACGGGAGGCAGCAGUGGGGAAUAUUGGACAAUGGGCGCAAGCAUGAUACAGCAAUACCGCGUGGGUGAAGAAGGACUUCGGGUUGUAAAGACCUUUUGUUGGGAAAGAAAAGCAGCAGGUUAAUACCCCGAUGUUCUGACGGUACCCAAAGAAUAAGCACCGGCUAACUUCGUG